rnacentral:rRNA from 1 species
GAUGAACGCUAGCUACAGGCUUAACACAUGCAAGUCGAGGGGCAGCAGGGAUUUAGCUUGCUAAAUCCGCUGGCGACCGGCGCACGGGUGCGUAACGCGUAUCCAACUUUCCCGUUACUCAGGGAUAGCCUUCCGAAAGGGAGAUUAAUACCUGAUGGUGUUUGAAGUUCGCAUGUUCUUCAAACUAAAGAUUUAUCGGUAACGGAUAGGGAUGCGUGACAUUAGAUAGUAGGCGGGGUAACGGCCCACCUAGUCUACGAUGUCUAGGGGUUCUGAGAGGAAGGUCCCCCACACUGGAACUGAGACACGGUCCAGACUCCUACGGGAGGCAGCAGUGAGGAAUAUUGGUCAAUGGUCGGAAGACUGAACCAGCCAAGUAGCGUGAAGGAUGAAGGUUCUAUGGAUUGUAAACUUCUUUUAUAUAGGAAUAAAACCUCCCACGUGUGGGAGCUUGUAUGUACUAUAUGAAUAAGCAUCGGCUAACUCCGUGCCAGCCGCCGCCGUAAGAC